rnacentral:rRNA from 1 species
AGUGAACGCUGGCGGUAGGCCUAACACAUGCAAGUCGAACGGCAGCACAGUAAGAGCUUGCUCUUACGGGUGGCGAGUGGCGGACGCGUGAGGAAUACAUCGGAAUCUACUUUUUCGUGGGGGAUAACGUAGGGAAACUUACGCUAAUACCGCAUACGACCUACGGGUGAAAGCAGGGGAUCUUCGGACCUUGCGCGAUUGAAUGAGCCGAUGUCGGAUUAGCUAGUUGGCGGGGUAAAGGCCCACCAAGGCGACGAUCCGUAGCUGGUCUGAGAGGAUGAUCAGCCACACUGGAACUGAGACACGGUCCAGACUCCUACGGGAGGCAGCAGUGGGGAAUAUUGGACAAAGGGCGCAAGCCUGAUCCAGCCAUACCGCGUGGGUGAAGAAGGCCUUCGGGUUGUAAAGCCCUUUUGUUGGGAAAGAAAAGCAGCAGGUUGAUACCCCGCUGUUCUGACGGUACCCAAAGAAUAAGCACCGGCUAACUUCGUG